UUCGACUUCAAAUGCUUGCACGCUUGAAGGAGAGCUAGGGUUUCAACUUGUCCAACUGUAGAAGCAUAAACACUCAUGGCAAACCCAUCCACCGCUUUUCCAGUAUGAUCUUUGCAAAUACACGCUAUACUUCGUUUUGAUCUACUUUCCGCAAACGAUCCAUCCACGUUCACCUUCAACUCGCUGCUCUUGGGUGGCUUCCAUUCCUCAGAGUCCACCACAUUCGAUGGCUCAGGAGCUCAUUUAUAAAAACAAAAUUGUUUCUUGCUUUCCACAUCUCCCAAAGCAUUGAUGCCAACCACUUUAGUGAAGGUCUGGGUGUCGCCAAACGUCGUUUGUCCACUUGCAUAGCAGAAAGAUAUGUUCUAUAAUUUUUGGGCCUUGCCUACAUAGAGGACACACCGGUUCAGUUUCAGGCUAUUAUAUCCGCAACAACUGCCACGACCUCUACUGCGACGUAGCCACUGAGAGACACAACAAAGAAGAAUCCUAGCUUAUCUUUCUGUCAAGCAUUUUGUCGAACACUAGAUCUGCACGUGGAAGUAGCUUCCGAUUAGCAAAGGAUUGGAGGCUCAAUCAAGGAGGUGAUGAACCAGAUGAGUCAAGCAGCCGCUGAGAAGGCUUGGUUUCAAGACGCAUCAACUGGUAACAACGAACUGAAACCAGCAGUGAAGAAGGAACCGUAACCACGGUUGGACAGCGACUCGAUUAAAUGAUAUGGCUCUGGGUGGAAGUGGAAGCACAGAGACGUAGGGUGGUGUAGACGAUGGAGGAUUGGAGGCGCAAUGGACGAUGAGGAAGGCCUCUCAUAUCGAAAUCGAGAGAGGAAGCUCCCAUAGAAGGGAGAGGUUCGACUCGUUGUCGACUUGGGUAGCCUCGAAAGUUAAAGAAGUCUUUCUACAAUCAUCCACAACACUCUUUUUCUUCUUUCGGAGACGAUGUUCCUUCUGUUGCGGUCACAGGAAGAAAUCACCCAUUUUGCAUCACGAAUUUUUAUAAACUCAUAAUUCACGGAUUUUCCUUCA